UCUGGACUUGAAGAGCAAAAGCCUUCCCAAGGUAACAGCAUGUCUAAAGGUCUCAAAGGAGAACAAAUUAAGAACAGCAGAUUGCAAACUUAGUCAAAAAUCCAGCCACAAAGUCAGAUUCCUUACUAGAAGCCGACCUUGCUUGGCCAAGUUCGUAACCAGAAUUAUUGGUCUAUCUAAGAAUAUAGAGGACAACAAUGU
rnacentral:lncRNA from 1 species